rnacentral:rRNA from 1 species
GACGAACGCUGGCGGCGUGCUUAACACAUGCAAGUCGAACGGAAAGGCCCUGCUUUUGUGGGGUUCUCGAGUGGCGAACGGGUGAGUAACACGUGAGUAACCUGCCCUUGACUUUGGGAUAACUUCAGGAAACUGGGGCUAAUACCGGAUAGGAGCUCCUGCUGCGUGGUGGGGGUUGGAAAGUUUCGGCGGUUGGGGAUGGACUCGCGGCUUAUCAGCUUGUUGGUGGGGUAGUGGCUUACCAAGGCUUUGACGGGUAGCCGGCCUGAGAGGGUGACCGGCCACAUUGGGACUGAGAUACGGCCCAGACUCCUACGGGAGGCAGCAGUGGGGAAUAUUGCACAAUGGGCGGAAGCCUGAUGCAGCAACGCCGCGUGCGGGAUGACGGCCUUCGGGUUGUAAACCGCUUUCGCAUGUGACGAAGCGUGAGUGACGGUAAUGGGUAAAGAAGCACCGGCUAACUACGUG